CGCUUAGGCGUGUGACUGCGUACCUUUUGUAUAAUGGGUCAGCGACUUAUAUUCUGUAGCAAGGUUAACCGAAUAGGGGAGCCGAAGGGAAACCGAGUCUUAACUGGGCGUUAAGUUGCAGGGUAUAGACCCGAAACCCGGUGAUCUAGCCAUGGGCAGGUUGAAGGUUGGGUAACACUAACUGGAGGACCGAACCGACUAAUGUUGAAAAAUUAGCGGAUGACUUGUGGCUGGGGGUGAAAGGCCAAUCAAACCGGGAGAUAGCUGGUUCUCCCCGAAAGCUAUUUAGGUAGCGCCUCGUGAAUUCAUCUCCGGGGGUAGAGCACUGUUUCGGCAAGGGGGUCAUCCCGACUUACCAACCCGAUGCAAACUGCGAAUACCGGAGAAUGUUAUCACGGGAGACACACGGCGGGUGCUAACGUCCGUCGUGAAGAGGGAAACAACCCAGACCGCCAGCUAAGGUCCCAAAGUCAUGGUUAAGUGGGAAACGAUGUGGGAAGGCCCAGACAGCCAGGAUGUUGGCUUAGAAGCAGCCAUCAUUUAAAGAAAGCGUAAUAGCUCACUGGUCGAGUCGGCCUGCGCGGAAGAUGUAACGGGGCUAAACCAUGCACCGAAGCUGCGGCAGCGACGCUUAUGCGUUGUUGGGUAGGGGAGCGUUCUGUAAGCCUGUGAAGGUGUGCUGUGAGGCAUGCUGGAGGUAUCAGAAGUGCGAAUGCUGACAUAAGUAACGAUAAAGC
rnacentral:rRNA from 1 species